UGGCUCAGACGGUAAAGCAUCUGUUUGCAAUGCAGGAGACCCGGGUUCGAUACCUGG
rfam:TPA: Bos taurus chromosome 7, whole genome shotgun sequence.